CAGCCGGGGUUCGAGCUCCAAAAGAUUACAGCUCUGUGCACCAUAGAUUAAGCUAGAAGACUAAAUAUCUGUUGCACCUACAUAACAAACACUGUGUAGCUGUUUUCAUGCUAUUAUGAUCAUGUUACAGUUUCAUGCUACAUGCAGGGCCUGAGUCACCACUUUUUAUUCCCAUUCUGCAUUGGUGCAAUUCUGUUCACGAUGGAGUCAUGGAUCACACUGCCUGUAGCUUAUUAAAAUGAUGAAAAUCCAGGCACUUUUAUAAUGUGUAUAGUUUACUGACUGAAUGAGAACCUCUAAAGAAGAACACAAGUACUCCAACAAGUAGUUUCUAGAGACCUUAUUCAGAUCUUCCUCAUAAAUGAGUUAAUAACAUGGAAUAGUGUAUCAUUUUGCAGCAGCUCAUUUUUUCCACACAGAAUCCCAUGUGAACGGAUAAAACAAAUGUUAAGGGGCACCUUCUUUCUGCAGAAAGAGUUGACUUAGAGGGCUGCUCGGAGGAACCAGCUCCAUCGGCCUUUUGCUGUCUGCAUUCUUCGCCCAGAUGUCCGCUCCAAAGUCGAUCAGCAGCGUCACCAGCUCAGGACUGCAAUUCCGGGCAGCCGUGUGGAGAGGGGAGUCCAGGCCCUUGCCACUGUUCACAUUUGCCCCUGAACACGAAGAAACAACAAAGAAUAAUGACAACGCAGGAAUCUCUUCCCAGUUCCUGCACUAGCUGCUAUUUCUCUGACCGAUCUGCAAACAGUAUAGCAUCCACGUGGAGGUGGGCUUCCACACUUUGGGGCAGGGCACCUCAGCUUGCGCUAGGCUGGGAAGCAGUGGAGUUGUGACUAAAGAAAACACCCCUGAGGAACAGUGCAUGAGGAAGUCCAAUAACCUUUCAUUCAUAGCCCAGACCACAGAUAUCGCAAAGCAGGACAAAGAUGUAUUUCCACCUGAAACCCUCCUCUAAUCCCCAACCCACUGCCCCAUUCCCUUAAAUCAUUGUUGGGUUUCAAUUUGCUAUCUGCUGGAGUCCUAAGCCAAGGGGAUUUCCAACUACUAGAUUGACCAAUUUUGGGGGGGGGAAAAAGUGAGGAUGGAGAAGUUCUAGACGCACUUUGUAGAGGAGGAUACAAGCACUUGCUGAUGGAUGUUCUCCAGUCCAUUAUUCAGGGCUAACAGCCCAUAAAACACAAGAAGGGUGAGCUGCAGAACUAGUUCAAAACUAUUUGUUUCCUAAGUGCACAUUCUCAUACCGAGAAGGCAGCAAAAACACAAAAUGGCAGAAAACAGAAAAUCAUAGCCCAACACUCAGAGUGUUCUUUUCUUUUUUUUUUUCUUUUUUUCAAAGUGGGUUUCUUGCACCACCAUUUUUGCAAUAUCUGUGUGGCUACAUUUUGUUACCUGGCCGUUUUGGAGAGAAGAGAUGCACUGCUGUAGAUAACAAGGAAUGGCCUUAUAUAAUUUUCUGAGUGCUUAGCCUUAUAGCUAGGCUUGUUUGAUGCUAAGAAUAUAAUGUUCAGUGUUUUCCUGUGUUGGACAUGUUUCAAACAUUUUACGAAAGGAGUGGGAAUUAAAAACACAUUUGCAGAAAUAGCAUGUAAAAAUGAUUAAAUCCUUUCUUUUGGAUAAAGAGGGAGGAACGAAAGAAGGAAGUUUCUUCUUGCCCUCUUCAAAUAACUGCAGCAUGACAAACAGACAAUGGAAAAGACUAUGUUUGUUCUAAGCACCACCAGUAGUGUGAAAUGCAGGAUCACUCCUUAGUUUGCUGGGAGCUGAAUAGCUGAGCUCCUCAGUCAAGAGGACCCCUAUCACCCAGUCACCCUAAUUAACUCUGAGGUGCCAUCAAGAGUGAAACAUGUCAAGAUUUCAGAGCAAGAACACCUCUAAAUCUGUGAUGAGACAAGAAUCUCAAGACAGAUGUGACAGAAAUUAAAAGUGCACCAUUCCAUAUUUUUCGUUUUACCUGACUCAAGUAACUUCUUGGCACAGUUUACUUGCUGGUUUUCACAAGCUACAUAAAGCGGAGUACCCAGA